CUUAUUGCUCUGCUGCCGGUUUGCUCUGUGUCAGCAUGAUCCUGUCAGAUCUCAGAAGCUAAGCAGUGCAGUGUCUGGUUAGUACUUGGAUAGGAGACCUCUGUGUGUGUUUGUCCAGGUAAAACUGGAGUUGCGUCAGGAAGGGCAUCCGGC